GAUGAACGCUGGCGGCGUGCCUAAUACAUGCAAGUCGAGCGAACGGACGAGAAGCUUGCUUCUCUGAUGUUAGCGGCGGACGGGUGAGUAACACGUGGAUAACCUACCUAUAAGACUGGGAUAACUUCGGGAAACCGGAGCUAAUACCGGAUGAUAUUUUGAACCGCAUGGUUCAAAAGUGAAAGACGGUCUUGCUGUCACUUAUAGAUGGAUCCGCGCUGCAUUAGCUAUUUGGUAAGGUAACGGCUUACCAAGGCAACGAUGCAUAGCCGACCUGAGAGGGUGAUCGGCCACACUGGAACUGAGACACGGUACAGACUACUACGGGAGGCAGAAGAAGGGAAUCUUCCGCAAUGCGCGAAAGCCUGACGGAGCCACGCCGCGUGAGUGAUGAAGGUCUUCGGAUCGUAAAACUCUGUUAUUAGGGAAGAACAUAUGUGUAAGUAACUGUGACCAUCUUGACGGUACCUAAUCAGAAAGCCACGGCUAACUACGUG
rnacentral:rRNA from 1 species